UUGCUGGGCUACGUAGGGGAACUGUUCUAUUAUGGUCUUCAUUCUAUCAUUAAACC
rnacentral:lncRNA from 1 species